rnacentral:rRNA from 1 species
AGCGAACGCUGGCGGCAGGCCUAACACAUGCAAGUCGAACGAACCUUUCGGGGUUAGUGGCGGACGGGUGAGUAACACGUGGGAACGUGCCUUUAGGUUCGGAAUAACUCAGGGAAACUUGUGCUAAUACCGAAUGUGCCCUUCGGGGGAAAGAUUAAUCGCCUUUAGAGCGGCCCGCGUCUGAUUAGCUAGUUGGUUGAGGUAAUGGCUCACCAAGGCGACGAUCAGUAGCUGGCCUGAGAGGAUGAUCAGCCACAUUGGGACUGAGACACGGCCCAAACUCCUACGGGAGGCAGCAGUGGGGAAUCUUGCGCAAUGGGCGAAAGCCUGACGCAGCCAUGCCGCGUGAAUGAUGAAGGUCUUAGGAUUGUAAAAUUCUUUCACCGGGGACGAUAAUGACGGUACCCGGAGAAGAAGCCCCGGCUAACUUCGUG